rnacentral:rRNA from 1 species
AGUCAACGCUGGCGGCGUGCCUAACACAUGCAAGUCGCACGAGAAAGGGACUUCGGUCCUGAGUAAGGUGGCGCACGGGUGAGUAACACGUGACUUAUCUACCCUCGAGUGGGGAAUAACCUAGGGAAACCUGGGCUAAUACCGCAUAACACUUACGAGUCAAAGCAGCAAUGCGCUUGGGGAGGAGGUCGCGGCAGAUUAGCUAGUUGGUGGGGUAAAGGCCUACCAAGGCGAUGAUCUGUAUCCGGCCUGAGAGGGCGCACGGACACACUGGAACUGAAACACGGUCCAGACUCCUACGGGAGGCAGCAGUGGGGAAUUUUGCGCAAUGGGGGAAACCCUGACGCAGCAACGCCGCGUGGAGGAUGAAGUCUCUUGGGACGUAAACUCCUUUCGAUCGGGACGAUAAUGACGGUACCGAUAGAAGAAGCCCCGGCUAACUUCGUGCCAGCAGCCGCCGUAAUAC